CAGCAGCCGCGGUAAUACGUAGGUCCCGAGCGUUGUCCGGAUUUAUUGGGCGUAAAGCGAGCGCAGGCGGUUAGAUAAGUCUGAAGUUAAAGGCUGUGGCUUAACCAUAGUACGCUUUGGAAACUGUUUAACUUGAGUGCAAGAGGGGAGAGUGGAAUUCCAUGUGUAGCGGUGAAAUGCGUAGAUAUAUGGAGGAACACCGGUGGCGAAAGCGGCUCUCUGGCUUGUAACUGACGCUGAGGCUCGAAAGCGUGGGGAGCAAACAGGAUUAGAUACCCGAGUAGUCCCUGGUCUCUUAUAC
rnacentral:rRNA from 1 species